UCCUCCCAUGUCCUUUCCGAUCGGGCACCUGACCUUGAGCAGCUCCAUAACCGGCUUCAUCAAAGGUUCCAACCAGGUUAGUCGAGUAGGGGCAGAGCAGCAGAAGAAGCGGUCAAAGUCACAGAGGAAGCAGGUGGCAGAGAUCGGCCAGGACUCGCAUAGGCCGAGUCCUCAAAGAAGAGCCUCUAACGGAAGGCUUGUCUGUUAGACGGAGGAGGAAACUGAGGCUCCGAGAGAUUAAGACAUUUGCCCGAGGUCACACAGCUAGUGCACGACAGGGCUGAAAUUCCAAUGAUCCGCACCGCCACUGCCCCUCCCCAUUUCUAAGAGGAAAAUAACCAUCGAUGUGAUCGACUGAUUACAGUCACCAGCCCAGCUAUUAAGGGCUUGCUAUGUGCCAAGCACUGUGCUGGGCACGGACAUGAAUGAUCGAGCCAUGCCUAGCUCUUUGACCUGACGUCCUACCUGCUUUCCCCUCAAUCACCGCCUGCCACCCUCUUCACGACCUCCUUUCUGCUCCUUGAACAUGCCAGGUUCUUCGCACGGACUGCUCCCUCCGCCUGGAUGUCCCCCCCCACAUCCCCGCGUCAUCCCAUCUCAGUGGCUGCUUCCUUCUCACGUGGGUCUUUGCUCAAACGUCACCUCCUCCGAGGCGCCCCCCCACCCCCAAUCUACUGAAACGUAACCUUCCUCCACUCUGCGUCACACACUCUAUGUCGAGUCUCCCCCGAGUUCUUUCCUUCACAGCACGAGUCAUCGUUUCAAACCAUUCCCUACUAGAUUAAACUCCAUGAGAACCGGGAGUCCUCAUUAAACCUCACCGUAUCCCCAGUGCCCGGAACAGCACCUGGAACAUAGCGGAGGUUCACUGCAGGCCGGGGCCACACUGUGCUUUGCCUCCAGCAGGGAAGACUGUGGGCUACGCUUGCACGAGGGAAUUCCACUGCCAUCAGGAAAUAUUUACAGAGCACCUACUACCUUCCAGGCACCACUGCAGAAACCA